CCUACGGGUGGCUGCAGUCGAGAAUCUUCCGCAAUGGGCGAAAGCCUGACGGAGCGACGCCGCGUGCGGGAUGAAGGCCCUUGGGUUGUAAACCGCUGUCAGGGGGGAUGAAAGCGUAAGCUUGACAGAGCCCCAGAGGAAGCACGGGCUAAGUUCGUGCCAGCAGCCGCGGUAAGACGAACUGUGCGAACGUUAUUCGGAAUCACUGGGCUUACAGGGUGCGUAGGCGGCUUGUUAAGUAGGGUGUGAAAUCCCCCGGCCCAACCGGGGAAUGGCGCUCUAAACUAGCAGGCUUGAGUGAGCUAGGGGUGCACGGAACUUCCAGUGGAGCGGUGAAAUGUGUUGAUAUUGGAAGGAACACCGGAGGCGAAAGCGGUGCACUGGGGCUUAACUGACGCUGAGGCACGAAAGCCAGGGGAGCGAACGGGAUUAGAUACCCUUGUAGUC
rnacentral:rRNA from 1 species